rnacentral:lncRNA from 1 species
GUAGGUGAUUCGAAAACUCAUCAGAGGAAACCCAGAUUUUUGUGCCUUCAUGGAUUUCGAACAAGUGGGAAAAUUUUGAAGAAGCAAAUAUUUGAUAAAUGGCCAACUGAAGUUGUGGAUAAAUUAGAUCUAGUUUUUGUUGAUGCGCCUUUUCCAUCUCAAGGAAAAUCUGAAGUUGAAGGCAUCUUUGACCCUCCCUAUUACGAGUGGUUUCAAUUCAAUAAGGUCGCUUCAUUUUUUCAGUAUUAAAUCCUACUUGAUUCGAUCAGAUAGCUCUUCCUUCGAUUUCGAUGAACAACUAAUGGUUGUUGUUUUUCAAUACAGGAAUUUACAGAGUAUGAGAAUUUUGAUAAAUGUCUUGAAUACAUAGAAGAAUGUAUGAUCAAACAUGGACCUUUCGAUGGUCUUCUUGGUUUCUCUCAGGUAAUUUUAGUUUUUUUCUCUCUCUUUCUUCAUUUUUGGGGUUGGUUAUAAAAUUUGGUCCAAUGUUUUUUUGCAUUUACUUUGGAAGUAUCUGAAUUCUUUUUUUUAAAAAAAAGGUCUGUUAUUCACUCAAAAAUAUUUUUUUUCAAAGCAGAAAGACAUAAUUUAGACUACUAUAUACUAUUACUAGUAUUUUUUUUUUGGUCAUAUUUCAAAUUUAUGAUAUUGCAUGUAUUUUUAUUACUAGAAAAUAAAUUUGCACAAUUUGAUUUUGAGUAUCUCUGUUUUUUAAUUCAGGGGGCAAUUCUUUCCGGAGCAUUGUCGGGGUUGCAGGCUAAGGUAAUAAAUUAAGUUUUUGUUUUAGUUCUUUGUGUGAAAAUGAAAAUGUAAAAAUUUGAAUCGUAAUUAUUCUUGUUCAAUUAAAUUUUCCAUAGUUAUUGAUGAUAACUUGGUGUGAUAUUAACAGGAAGUGGGACUUACAAAGGCAUCAAAAAUUAAAUAUCUGAUCAUAAUUGGAGGUGCUAAAUUUCGGAAUAAAUCAGUGGCCGAAAAAGCUUAUUCACCAGCAAUUGCAUGCCCUUCCGUUCAUUUUUUAGGUAUCUUUCUGUUCCUACAAAAAAUUUUCAACACGUUGUAUUGUUGUUCUUUGGCUAUUUUACACCACUCGUAGUAUAUGAUUAUUUUUCUUUAAAACGUUUAGUUUAUUUUGUUAACUACGACAAGUCAACUAUUGAUUCUGGCCAAUUUGGGCCGACUCGAUUAAAUUGAAUUUGUUAAGAAAUUUCAUGGGAUGAUGGAAAUUAAGUAAUCACCACGUCCACUUGACAAAUCAAACAAAUGAUGAUAUAUUUUUAUGUACACGAAUUUCUUAAAAAUUUUCAAAUUUUUAAGUAAUUUACUUCAUAAUAAAUAAUAAUUAAUAGGAGUAAUUAAUAGCUGUCUUGGCAGCGAUUUUUGUUAUUGUUUCUUUUUUAAGUUUUUUUAAAACAAAUUUGGUAGCGAUUUUAGAAAAUUUUAAUUUUUUAUUUGUGUAUUUUGAAAUUUUAAUGAAAUUUGUUUUUUUUUUAAAUUAUGAAUUGAAAAUUGCUGCAUUUGCAGCGAUUGUAGUUAUUUAUUAUUUUAUUAUUUAAGUAAACCUCUGCAAAAGCAAAAUUUAGUUUUUUUUUUUGAAAAAAAAUUUAUGUUGUAUAAUCGCUACAAAUACAGUGACUUACUUUUUAUUUUUAUUUUUUUUUUGCAAAUUUUAGUGGAUUUUUUUAAAAAAAAUUGAAACUUUUUUUAAAAUUAUUUUAUUUUAUAAAUAUUUACAAUUGAUAAUUUUAAAAAAAAUCCUUAAAAUCGCUGCAUUUAAAAUACGCAAUUAAAUAAAAUUAAAAUCUUUAUAAAAUAAAAUUUAGAACUAAUUUUAUAAAAUAAAAUUAAAAAAGAAGAAGUUUCAAUUAAAAAAAAUUUGUAAAAAAACAAACAAACUAAAAUUUGCUGCAUUUGCAGCGAUUAUACAACACAAUUUUAUAAAAAAAUAACAACAAAAACUAGAAUCGUUGCUUUUGUAGUGAUAUACUUAAAAAAUAAUAAUAAAUAACUAAAAUCGCAAAAAUAAUAAUAAAUAACUAAAAUCGCAAAAAUAUAGUGAUAUACUUAAAAAAUAAUAAUAAAUAACUAAAAUCGCAAAAAUAUCACUGUUCGAGCAGCAAUUUUACUUUAAUGUCGUUAAAAUAAAUCGCUACGUCAGUAGCGAUUUUAUUGGUUAUGUUGGAAAUUUUUUUUAUAUACCUUUUGGAAUUUUUGUCAAUUAUUUUUGCUCUUUAGACUCCAAACUCGUACUAAUACAUAGUAUUUGUUUAAUAAGGCAUGUUGAUAAACACAAUAUAAAGUUCCAACUUAUUAGAUCGAGUAAUACGUCAAUAUUGGUUAGGAAUAUUUAGAGGAUAUGCCUUGAUAUAAAGGAAUCCCUAGACAAAGAGGAGUUGUUUUGGUCGAUAUAAGAGCCUCAACCUAGACAUCAAACUCCUAGCUCUUGAGCUUAUUUACUGUUGAAAAGGGUACUGUUGGUAUAUUAAUUUCGAAAUAUUUAAUAUUUGCUUAUGAAUAUCAAUUAAUCUCAAGAAUUAGUUAUUCAUAGGUAGUUAAAUUGUGUGAGACAUUCCAACCCCUAGGCCCAACCAAUUAACUCCUAAAUUCUGGUGUUAUAACUAAUUGCAGUUAUGAGUUGUUUUAAUUGACUUAUUAAUAAUCUAUAGCAUAAGCUAGAAAAAUCCGAACUUAUGACUUCAACAUGCCUAUUUUUAGGUGUGGGUGGGCAGCUGCUAAACUUCAACAUGCUAUUAUCCCCAAAUGUAUCAAAGUUUCUAUUUUUUUUUUUAAUUACGAUAUUAAUUACUGGUUAUUAAUUAAUCACUAUAGGUGAGCAAGAUUACCUAAAACAGUAUGGGAUAGAACUGUUGGAAUCAUGUGUUGAUCCAGUGGUGAUUCAUCAUCCUAGGGGUCACACUAUACCAAGAUUCGGUAAACCUCUUUUAACUAUUUUAUUAAUUCAACUUCAUUUAAAUGUUAAUUAUAUUCUGUGUUGUUAAUUAAUCUUCUUCUUCUUCUUCUUUUUUUCAGAUGAGAAAGGAUCAGAGAGUAUGCUUAGUUUCAUUGAGAAGGUGCAAGAAGAGAUUAACAAGUGAUCAAGUUUGAUAAUUUUUUUUCAAAAAAAAAAAUAGUGGUAGUCCCUAGUUUGGGACAUGUAGUUACCACCUUUUUUUAAUAUAAAUAAAAUAGCUCCGAGUAAUUAGUAUUUUACAAUGUAGGAAUGAAAAAUACCAGACCAUGCUAUUGUAUUUACCGCAGUUUGCCAUUCGAUUAUAUUGAUAUAAAAAUCUUUUAUCAGUUCUAACUUUUAGAAAUUUAUAGUUUAAAAUAUGUUUGCAAAAACAUAUAUUUUCAUUUUCAUUUUGGAAAACAUGAAACAUAAUUUAUAUGUAAAAUUACAUAUAUAAAAAAAUAAUGAACUACAUCAUAACAUGAUAUUCCAAAAAAUAUUGUCAAUAACAUAAUUACUAGUAACUACAAUUAGUUAAAAAGGGAAAAGACAUGGUGUCCUACAGAAUUUAUUUUGAAAAUACAAUUACACCCAUAAAUUAUUAUGGUACUCUAUAACAUAUUUUAACAACUCAAAAGUGAAUUUAGUAUCAAUGAAAUACCACUCUCAUGUGGUGUAUUAUAUUCGAUGUCACGUUAACGCUAAGUUAAAAUUAUCUCAUAAAUUAUAAAUUUUUUUGUUAAUUAUAUUUUACUUUAAUUAACAUCUGUUAAUUGUUUUAAUUUUCAAUUAAUUUUAUUUUAUUCAUCAUUAAUCUCAUUCAUUUUCAAAUUGCAAAAUGUCAUAUCCUACCCCAUCUUCACUGUUGAUCUUUUUUCACCACCAUUAUUCAAUUCUUAAUCUUCUUUGUCACUCAACACCAAAUAUUAUCACCACCAUUAUCAAUAUCAACUUUUUUCUUCUUCACCACCUUCAAUUAUCUCUUUUAAUGUUUGUCAACCGCUGUCUAACACCACCAAACAUAUAAAGUUGACUAUCAAGCCCAAAAUUGAUUAACAACUAAAUAUAUAAAAUACGAUUAUUCACUAACAAAUCUAUAUGAAUUAACCUAAUUACAAAUAAAAAAAUAUUAUGUUUUAAAAUUGUGAUAAAAAAUAAAGAAGUUUGAUGAAAAAUAAAGAAUGAAGAAGAGGUGUGGAGGGGUGGGAAUGAAAAAGAGGAUUCUAUCUUUUUUAUUACUUUAAUUUCAGAUUGACGCACAUAUUUUUUAUUUCUUUGUCACAUCAAUUUUAGGGGAUAAGAAAAUUUACUUUUAAAAAGAUAGGUAUAUAAUUGAUUACUAUGAUAAUUUAAGCGUGUAACUGUCUCUUUUUGAAAUUUUAAGCCUUUUUUCUUAAUUAGAAGACAAUUAAUGACAUCAUUAAUAACUAAUUACUCUAUCUGCCCUGAUUUUUUCAGGCGAGAAAGCAUUAGAGAGCAUGCUUAGUUUCAUUGAGAAGGUGCACAUAUAUUUAACAAAUGAUCAAGAAUGACAAAAUAUGCCAGUUCUUUGUUGUGGAAAUAAUUCUUUCCUUGGGUUUUAAAAAUAAAACGCUUCUAAUAAUUAUUUAUGAUAUUUAAAGGGAAUGUAGAAUUAUCUAUAUUCUCAAUAGACAAACUAUUUAAAUUUAUGUAUAUAAAUUCUCUAGUUUCUAUGAACCAUUUUGGAUAAGAAUAUAUCUACAUAUAACGACACUUAACAUAGUAAUUUUUGGAGUGAUUUCUCAAUCUAUAAAUAGAAUUGUUCUUUCAUUUAUUACAUGAGAUAUCUAGAGACAUUUGAAUAAGACGAUAUACACAUUGUACUCUCUUGUAUCACUGGUUUAUAUUCUUGUAGGAUAAAACAUUAUAGAUUCAUGACAUGUGUACUAUAACAUAAUUUAUGGUUGAGAUUCAUUUAAAUUAUAUGCUCAUUAUAAUAAUAAAAACAACAAAGCUGUCAACUUAUUUAAUUUUUAAAAUUAUCAAAUAAAGCAAUUAAGUGUACCCAAACUAAUAUUUUCAAGAAAAAGAUUUAACAUUGACAAGAAUAAACGAACUUCCUGACUUUUUACCCGCCUAACUUAUUUGGGAGUAAUUUCACACAUGCUUUCUCCAAAUUCUGAAGCAAUCUCCAAAAUAGAUCAAACUUAAAAACACCAUUGAAUUAUAAAUAAAAAUUCAACUAAUUAAGAAUAUGAUAAUACAUUUUUAAAAAAUAAUUAUUUAGAGGUUUUCAAAUAAUUAUGAAAAUAUAUUUAAUCAGAUUCUUCAAAAGUGUUGUGUUCUUUAAAAUUAGUAUUAAUUUUAAAAAAUUCAAUACAAGUACGAGGUUGACAGGUAAAAAAUCGGAUAGUCCGCAUAUUUCCGCUAGUCUUAUUUUUUCCUUGAAAAUAUUAGGUAAGAUACUCUUAAUUAUUUUAUUUGAUAGUUAAAAAAUAAAAAUAAUUGACGAUUUUGUUGUUUUUAUUAUUAGAAUGAAUAUAUAAUUUAAAUAGAUCUUAAUCAUAAAUUAUUACAUAGUACACGCAACAUAAAUCUAUAAGACAAUUAAACAUUACUUGACCGGAUCUUUAUCCGCAUGGAAUAUUACUUAUAUUUACAACAUGAUCUCAGUUUUCUUUUUUUUUUUUUUGAAAAAGCAUGAAACAUGACUUAUACUUCUAAGAACUAAAAUAAAAAAGAUAAAAAGAGUUCAUAAAUUUGGUACAGAAUAUAAUGAACUAGAUAAUACAUAUUCCUAAUACCAUGACAUGAUAUUUUAAUUAAAAAAUUACUAAUAACAUAAUUACUAGCUACUCUAACUAGUUAAAUUAUUUUUACAUAUUAAAAACAUCUCUUCACGAAUCAUAACAAACAUGCUUUUUCUAAUCAUAUAACCGAAAAGUAGAUAGAAAAUUAAAUAGGAUCAUAAAUAAAUUGUUUUAUUAAAAAAUAAAAUACAAAAAUUUGGAAUAAAUUUUGAACUUUACAAAGAAAUCAAUAUUAUAUUUUUUCCCCAGUUUUCUUUUUACAAAUUUUGAAAUCUAUUUUCAAGAAAUAGAACAUAUUCUAUGAGUAAGCAGAUACUGUACUAUUUACCCAAAAUUUUCUCCAAAAUGUACGGGAACACUAUGAAUAUGGCAAAUUCAGCCGCCACCAUGGCAGGUGAAGGAACUGCCAACGCCAAUCAGAGGAAAUUACCCAGAUUUUUGUGCCUUCAUGGGUUUCGAACAAGUGGGAAAAUUUUGAAGAAGCAAAUAUUUGAUAAAUGGCCAAUUGAAGUGGUGGAUAAAUUAGAUCUAGUUUUUGUUGAUGCGCCUUUUCCAUCUCAAGGCAAAUCUGAAGUUGAAGGCAUAUUUGCCCCUCCUUAUUAUGAAUGGUACCAGUUCAAUAAGGUCGCGUUGUACGCCUAAUUAAUUCUUGC